rnacentral:rRNA from 1 species
UACGGAGGGCGCGAGCGUUACCCGGAUUUACUGGGUGUAAAGGGCGUGUAGGCGGUCUCUCAAGUCCGAUACUAAAGACCGAAGCUCAACUUCGGGGGUGCGUUGGAUACUGUGAGGCUAGACGGUCGGAGAGGGUAGCGGAAUUUCCGGAGUAGCGGUGAAAUGCGCAGAUACCGGAAGGAACGCCAAUAGCGAAAGCAGCUACCUGGACGAUUGGUGACGCUGAGGCGCGAAAGCGUGGGGAGCAAACCGG